GAGGAAGGGGCGGGGCGUGCCCCGCCAGCGGAGGCCGGGAGGACCAGGAACCCAGGGGAGCAUGGCCACGCUGCGCCGGCUUCGGGAGGCGCCGCGGCACUUACUGGUUUGCGAGAAAUCCAACUUCGGCCACCACAAGUCGCGCCACCGGCAUCUUGUGCAGACGCACUACUAUAACUACAGGGUUUCAUUUCUCAUUCCUGAAUGUGGGAUACUAUCAGAAGAACUGAAAAACCUGGUCAUGAACACUGGACCCUAUUACUUUGUGAAGAAUUUACCUCUUCAUGAAUUAAUUACACCUGAAUUCAUCAGUACCUUUAUAAAGAAAGGUAAGAAAAACCUGAAAUGGCUGUGAACAAGGCUGGAUGAGGAAGGGUAGGGAGACCACAUCACGAUGCUAGGGCUGUUCUUUUGUUUCAAACAGGGCCUGUGGUAUAGUCUGUGUGGUCAGGUGCACACACGUUCUCCCCCGCAUUCUCAUCCUGUUCUUUCUUGUACCCUCUUUAGGUGGUGGUUUCUGAUUGCAAUUGGCCACAAGUGUUGGAUGGGGAUGUUGUAACAUGACAGUAUCCGUCCCCUUAAAAUGAGGAUUAAUGGAGAGGAGAGACUUGCAAUCUGUGUUCGGAUGCACUGCUGUUGAAGAUGUGGCUGCAA
rnacentral:sRNA from 1 species